rnacentral:tRNA from 2 species
GGCGAGGUAGCUCAGAUGGUUAGAGCGUCGGAUUCAUAACCCGGAGGUCAGGAGUUCAAAUCUCCUUCUCGCUACUA